ACUCCUACGGGAGGCAGCAGUGGGGAAUAUUGCACAAUGGGCGCAAGCCUGAUGCAGCCAUGCCGCGUGUAUGAAGAAGGCCUUCGGGUUGUAAAGUACUUUCAGCAGUGAGGAAGGCGGGUACGUUAAUAGCGUGCUCGUUUGACGUUAGCUGCAGAAGAAGCACCGGCUAACUCCGUGCCAGCAGCCGCGGUAAUACGGAGGGUGCGAGCGUUAUCCGGAUUUAUUGGGUUUAAAGGGUCCGUAGGCGGAUUAAUAAGUCAGUGGUGAAAUCCCAUCGCUUAACGAUGGAACUGCCAUUGAUACUGUUAGUCUUGAAUGAGGGUGCAGUGGUUGGAAUGUGUAGUGUAGCGGUGAAAUGCAUAGAUAUUACACAGAACACCGAUUGCGAAGGCAGAUCACUAACCCUAAAUUGACGCUGAGGGACGAAAGCGUGGGGGAGCGAACAGGAUUAGAUACCCUGUAGGCUCUG
rnacentral:rRNA from 1 species